CCCUGUGGGAUACUGCUGUGGGAAACACAGCCUCAUCAGCAACAAAACAGUUCAGCAUGGCUGAAGGGAAAUGAGAGCUAAGACAUUGUCUGAUGGCAGUCUUGGGUUACAAUCAUGAGAAAUAAAAACUAUUCAUGGAGACGACAUCAGAGUAGAAAUAUCUAGUGAUACUGCAAGCAUGGACCUGAAGUUAAACAGCAUAUGAUGCAAGAGAGGCAAGGAUGAAAAAUUGGAGCUACAACAAGGAAAAAUCAGGAUCACUGUCACAAAUAAAACCUGGCUAAAAAGAGUGAGGAGAAAAAGGAUAAGCAAAUGUGUUGCUUGUUUUGGCUAGAGAAGAAGCAUUCCUUGGGUUUUUGAGCAAAAAGCAAUCCACUUACCUCUCUGUGAACACAAAUGCUCAACCAAAAACCAAGUCUGGGUGGAAUUUGGAGAGAAUCUGAAACGAGUCUGGAAGAUUGCAGAUGCUGUUUCCAAAUCACAGAAUAUUCUGUAUUGGAAAGGACCCACAAGGACAGUCAAGCCCAGCUCCUAAGGAAAUGUUUUUUUAUAAAACCUCUCCAAGUUAAGACAACAACACACCGUGUCUUGAAAAUUCUCCAACGCCCAACAUACUGUUCAAGAACAUUAGAGAACUUCUGGGUGAGCUAAAGCCACUGCUCUCUGAGUGCCAGCUGGGAUACAGCAGCUCUUUUGUCCACGAAAAACACAUACAUGUCAUCAGAUGAUGUUAUUAAAUUAGCCAAACUCUUUUCAUUGAUCCAAAGUAUUUCUUCUAAUUUCCACUUUAAAUUCAUCCAAGACUGGUUUAUACAUCUUUGUUUCUAUGCCAGCCUUUAUUGAAACAGCGAA